rnacentral:piRNA from 1 species
UGAAAUAGACGCAUUGGAUUUCUGGGC